CGCACUCACUCGCUGCACCCACCCACCCACCCCCAGCGUGUCAGCCCGCCGGUGUGUGCUCAUGACACUGCCACACACACCAGGAGACACGCUUGUACCCGCAGACAGCACCGACAGAGGGAAACCGACACGGGACGAAGUGGAGACAUGAGACGGGACUUCUCGUAGCUGACAACCGUUCGCCCGGCUCCGUCUCCCCUCCUUUGUGUUCGGUGUAAAACUUCGACCCUGUCAGCAGCUUUAUAGCUCGACCGGUGAGCUGCUCACCUCCAGCCCGUCACUUCCCACACGGGUUGUCCCGGUUUGACUCUCUGCUCGCCGGGGAGAAAGUCAGGGAAAAGCCGCUGACACCUUAAGCUGAGGCAGGAGAGAAGUGGCAGCAGCCCGCACACAGGGUUCUUAAUAGUCAGUGGGAUGUUAGAGGUCUGGAAGCAGGACCAGGACUGACUGAAGGAGCAUGGUGAAACACCAACCCCUCCAGGUCUAUGAGCGGCAGCUUUGUCUGUCAUGUAUCACUGGGAUCUAUGGUUGCCGCUGGAAACGCUAUCAACGUUCCCACGAUGACACCACCAAGUGGGAGCUGCUGUGGUCACUCAUCCUCCUUCUCACGUUCUGUCUGCUGCUGGUCUGGUGCUACUUUUGGUGGGAGGCACAUAAUGACUACAAUGAAUUCAACUGGUUCCUCUACAACCGCUCUGGGGAGUGGAGUGAUGGCACUGUUCCCAUCCUGGCAACUACCGCUGCUGGCUUCACCUACAUUGCAUUUUUAAUGAUUUUAGCACUUUGCCACGUUGCACUUGGACAACAGUUAAAUUUGCACUGGCUCCAUAAGGUUGGCGUGUCUGUUGCUCUGCUCACCACCGUCGCUGGGGUGAUAUCUAUCAAUCAAACAUGGGGGCAAGAGUGGGACAUCAUCCCCAUCUCCCUGCAGGCGACAGGUCCGUUCCUGCACAUAGGGGCUCUUGCUGCUGUCACAGCACUGUCUUGGAUUGUGGCUGGACAGGUCGCCCGUGCAGAGAAAACAAUGUUCCAGGUGGUCGUCAUGCUGCUGUAUCUCAGUUUGUUACUGGGACUCUAUGUGAUGCCCAUCUACAUCACCUCCCCCUGCAUCAUGGAACACGCCUCUCUCAAACCCCGUCCUGACGUUAUUGGUCUUCGGGGAGCCCCCAUGCUGGCUCCAGAGAACACACUGUGGUCCUUCCAGCGAGCUUUGCAGAUGAACGUCACUGGGUUGGAAGCUGAUGUGGCUAUCAGUGUGGACGGAGUGCCUUUCCUGAUGCACGACCGCACGCUGCGGAGGACCACAGACAUAGAGAAGGUUUUCCCAGAGAGGCAGAUGGAUGAAGCCGCACUCUUUAACUGGACAGAUCUGCAGCAGCUCAAUGCCGGACAGUGGUUCCUUAAGGAUGACCCCUUCUGGACGGUGCACAUGCUGUCCCCGCAUGAGAAGACUCUGAUUGCCAACCAGAGUGUGUGCAGCCUGGAGAAGCUUCUAAAGCUGUCCUCCUACCAUAACAGCACAGUGGUUUUCAGGCUCAGGAGACCACCUCUGGAACACCCCUUGUACCACAGCUGGAUCAACGACACACUGCAUGCUGUGCAGCAGUCUGGGGUUCCUCAGAACCUGGUGAUGUGGACUCCAGAUGAGCACAGAGCUCAGGUGAGAGAGCUGGCUCCUGGUCUGAUCCAGACUUCAGUGGAGAAACAGAGUCCUCAAAGUCUCAAUCAGUCGGGCAUCAGCAGGCUGCUGCUCAGAUACAACCAGGCCAGCACACGGGAAAUCAGUGACUUCUCUGAGAGCUACAUCAACCUCACCCUCUACACUGUCAACGAGCCCUGGCUGUUCUCGGUGCUCUGGUGCAGCGGGGUGUCAUCGGUUUCUUCAGAGGCUCCGCACAUCCUCAAAAGGGUGCUUUACCCCAUCGGGCGCAUGAGACCACAGGAUUACUGCCUGAUGUGGGUGACUGCAGACCUCAUCUCCUUUGCUGUAGUUGUAGGAAUAUUCAUUUUCCAGAACUAUCACAUGAUCAGGUAUCGGAUGAGUGGUAUGCGCAGCUACAACCCUGAGCAGAUCAUGCUGAGUGCUGCCGUCAGGAGGUCCAGUCGAGACAUAAGCGUCAUGAAGGAGAAACUUAUCUUUUCAGGUCAGCCCCAGUAAAGCCGCCUGCCUCCUCCAUCCUUCGUGUGUGAUGUGCACCACCUCCUGUCCAUCCUACCUCCUCUCCAUCUCUUCACCAGCAGUGAUUCUUCCAUUUUUAUUCCAUGCAUCCAUUGCAUCCCUCGUUACCUGCCACCUCUAUGCCUAUUAUGCCCUUUCCAACCAUUCAUCCAUCGCUUCACGCACCUUGUGAUCUCCCCAUCAUUCCUCCCAGUGGAGACGUCGUUCUGUGUAGGGGAGUUUAUAGACACCCUGUUCUGUCUAGACAGCCUGUAGUGCUGGGGGUGAAAGAGGUGGGAAACGGAGUUGGCAGUGCUGAGGAGCUGUAUGCGGACAAUGACUGCGACUACUACACCAAUCAGGGCAUCAGCCAGUGAUUGAAACUGAGCCCUGUGUGGAUCUGCUGUGGCGUGAUGGAGACAACAACACUCUGUGUUCAAAUCAUUACUGUUUUUAUUCAAUGUGAGGUCUCCCCUCUGUCCUACUGAUGAACUGACAGAUAUGCUGUAUAGGAGAAAACAACCACCCAGUUAUGUGUACAUUCUGUAAAUAAGUUUUUUUUUUUGCUUGUCAGAUUUACUGUUUAUCACAUAGGACGAUACUUUUUAUUAAAAGAAUUCGCCAAAUCCGAGGCCGAGAGGCCCCCCAGGCUACCAUCGCCUGCUUCUCUUCAAAACUUUGUUUCCAGAUUCUUUAUUUUAAGCAGUUUAUUGCUGCGAGCAAUGUAAAUGAUAUUGUUCUCUUUGUAGAUUAAUUUAUUUUUAAACAAGGAUUUUUAAAAUCCUUUAUUGCCGCAUGAGACAAAAAGCUUCAUCCCUCGUUAUGCUCCUGCCUUCUGUCACCACUCUGCUGUGCUGCUGUUCAUAAUGGACCGAAUAUUACUAUUUAUAUUUAAAGAGAAGAAGAAAAGAACACAGACAAUUUGUUUACAGAGAUCCUGCCUUCUCCAGGUGACGUAUGUAAGAUGAUUCCUUUGAUCGAGGCUGAAUGAAAAGCGCCGCCCUCUGAUCAGUGCAUGUUACAGUAACCAUCAUAUCAGACUUGUGUGAGCUGUGCUUCCCCUGUUUUACAGGAGGACCUGGUGAAAAUGGUUUGGGGUGGAGAUAUUUGAUGUCUUUUAGUGGUUAAUGUGAAUGUGUUACGAAUAAUACCUUCUUUUUUUUUUUAAAAGAUGUGUAUUGAGUGUGUCCUGACUGGAUAUGUAUUUUUUUUACCCUGUGUGCAGUGCUGUGUUGAGUGUGUUGUUGUACAGGAAAAGUGAACCAAUGUUAGAGAUGCUCCAGCCGACUACACGUUACAUUUUAACAAUGUGACAGUUUAAUAUUACGGCAGGAAUAGUCAUUUCACUUCACACACGUUCUCUGGGCUGCAGUAGAGUGUGUGUCGUGCUGAGGAACUUCUCACUGUUGGUGUCUGGAUGCUGAAUGCUGUAAUGUAAAUGAAGUGGGUACUAAAUGUGAAAGUGAAGCUCCAAGCUCGCAGAAGGGACACGGCUUCAGGUGUCACAGGGUCAAGACAUUGGUUGCCUUUUGUGUUGACUUCUUUUCUGUGCCUCAGAAUUAAACAUUAAAACAUUUUAAAAUACAAGA